CUCCAUAAGGUAGUGCACUAUAUAGGGAAUAGCGUGCUAUAUUGGGCAUGACCUCAGUGGUAACAUGUCAGAUACAGGAAACAAGUUGUUUAUGACUGCUACGAUCCUCAGGAAUACUUCCUGGUGAGAGAAACACAGACUCCAUCAUAUUUACGGGAGCCAGAAUCAUUUGUGGAUUCCUUGGAUGGAUGUCUGUGUUCCCUAGCAGACAACAAACAGUAUAAACUGGCUGGAUGUCUGUAUUCCCUAGCAGACAACAUACAGUAUAAACUGGCUGGAUGUCUGUGUUCCCUAGCAGACAACAUACAGUAUAAACUGGCUGGAUGUCUGUGUUCCCUAGCAGACAACAUACAGUAUAAACUGGCUGGAUGUCUGUGUUCCCUAGCAGACAACAUACAGUAUAAACUAGAUGGAUGUCUGUGUUCUCUAGUAGACAACAUACAGUAUAAACUGGCUGGAUGUCUGUGUUCCCUAGCAGGCAAAAUACAGUAUAAACUGGCUGGAUGUCUGUGUUCCCUAGCAGACAACAUACAGUAUAAACUGGCUGGAUGUCUGUGUUCUCUAGCAGACAACAUACAGUAUAAACUGGGUGGAUGUCUGUGUUCCCUAGCAGACAACAUACAGUAUAAACUGGCUGGAUGUCUGUGUUCCUUAGCAGACAACAUACAGUAUAAACUGGGUGGAUGUCUGUGUUCUCUAGCAGACAACAUACAGUAUAAACUGGGUAUGUUCACAGCCAUUCACCUGUUAGUAAUCAAACCACUAACAUUCAAGCUUGUUGGUUGAGAAUCACACACACACACACACACACACACACACACACACACACACACACACACACACACACACACACACACCCCGUCCCCCUUUCCAGUGUAAGUGGACCACAGAAUGUCACAAUGCGGGUAAAGGGGGUGAGAGGUUAAAUCAGUGACCACUCUUUUGGCUCCGAACCUGGAUCCUCUCUCUCUAAGUGAGAAUCACCACGUCCCCUUUCUCCUCCGCUAUGUGAUGAGCACUCUCAUAAACACUGGGGAAUCGUCUGAGACCGCCCGCCUUCGUCCCACGCCAGACAUGCACAGCUGUCAGAUAAAAAUCAAUUGAAUUUUAAAGGGCCUUAAAGUAAAUAUUUAAUUCUUGCCUUGGGAACCAAUUAAGUGAGUUAUGUGAACUUUAGUGGUGAUGGUUGAACUGGAAGUUGUGCUGGUGUGAUGGUUGGUACCAGCUGGUUACAGG
rnacentral:lncRNA from 1 species